rnacentral:rRNA from 1 species
UACAGGGGGGGCAAGCGUUUGUUCGGAAUUACUGGGCGUAAAGGGCCAGUAGGCGGCCAACUAAGUCCGACGUGAAAUCCCCAGCUUAACCUGGGAACUGCGUCGGAUACUGGAUGGCUUGAAUUCGGGAGAGGGAUGCAGAAUUCCAGGUGUAGCGGUGAAAUGCGUAGAUAUCGGGAGGAACACCAAUUGCGAAGGCAGCUCGCUGGGACGUCACUGACGCUGAGAC